rnacentral:misc_RNA from 1 species
GUGAAUCAUCAAAUUUUUGAACGCAAAUUGCACUCCCCUCGGAGAGUAUGCCUGUUUGAGGUUCAGCCUAUAAAAAAUCGACAUCGUUGCUGUUUCGCGGUCGCGUUCGUCGGAAAUUGGGUCAUCUUAUAUCUAUUGGUUUUAAGCGACCUAAAAUUUUCUUUUUGGUUCCAUUAACGUUUCUAAGAUCUAUUUCUUUUCACGUUCUAGUCAUCGUUCUUUACUAGACGUGACUAUCAUAUC